CAUUGGCGUCUAUGCUAGAUGAAGGGUGCUUCCAGACCAAGUUCGUUUCUAGAACUUUUGAGGAAACUAGCUUUGGAGUCAGACAGACCUCUUCAGUAUGAUCUUGGAUCUGCCCAUGCUGAGUCCAUACAUACAGAAUGCCUUUUUCACCAUCUUGCUUGAUUGGUUCUCUGCUAAACUCGGUUCCUAGAUGCUGGCAAUGCCAGGAUGGAUGAAUUACUUUCCUUGGCCCGGAGAGCCUCACCGUCUAGAAAGAGAUACAGACGUGCAAAUAAUUGCAAGAGAUUCCUCCAGGCAGCUGAGUGCACCUUCUGCAUACCUUUGAUAUCUAAUAUUCAAGUCAUAUCCCAGCCCUUGCUCCCCACAAGCAGACAGAACCAAGAAUUCUUCAACCUCUUCUGUCCUGAGACCCUGCCUGGGGCUCUCCUGAUUCUCUCAGCCACCAAGCUCACCUCCCAGUCUGUACUUUGGGCUUUUCCUCUCUCUGCAGGUAUGAAGUGGUCUACUCUGUUGCCGCAUCUUGUCUUGGGCUCUAUUAGGGGCUGAACCAUGUCCCCCACAAUCAAUCCUGAGUACCUCUGAAUGUAACCAUAUUUGGAGAUAAGAUCUUUAACGAGGUGAUUAAGUCAAAAUGAGGCCUUUAGGGUGGGGACCUAAUCCAAUAUGACUGGUGUCCUUACAAAAGAAGAGCCACCCGGGAUGCAUGCCUGCAUCACACACAGAAAAGGCCAUGUGGGGACGCAGGGAGAAGGCGGCCGGCUGCAAGCCAAGGAGAGAGGUCUCGGGAGAAACCAACACUGCCAAAAUCUUGAUCUUGGACUUCUAGCCUCCAGAACUGUGAGAAGGGUUUCUGGCUGAUAAAGGUAUAUAGGAGGUUCUGAAAUGUUAUUGAGUGAAUGAAUAAAUUAGCACUAGAAAAAAAGCAUGGACUUUGGAAGAGGACCAGAAUUUAAAACCAGACUAGAAGUGUAGAGUUGGGGGAACUCAACCCAUUUCCCACCACUUCCAUCGACCUCCUGUGGCAUCCUAAUGUUCAGAAGGAGAAGAACAUUCUAGAAGGAGAACAAAAUUCUAUCAGCAAGAAGUAUAAUACUCUUGUGCCAAAGGUGUGCACAAUCAGCCAAGUGACCUGAGAAAUGCAAGUCCUGGCUCUAUUGAGGUCAUCAAGGAGAAAGCAAGCCGCUGGCAAGUCAGGAAUCUGUCUCAAAGUAAACAUGUGGCUUGUGACCUUGAGGAUGUGCGUAUGUUUAUUGUUGGGGCAGUUGCUUUUUCCUUAUCUCUCACCAGCUCUCAAAAGACCUGUUUAAGUUUUCUGUAAGAGGAUAUAUCUCAUGUGCAGUUGCAAAUAUGCUUCUUUAUUCUUCUCUGGCUAAUAAUUAUCAAAGUUACAGUCAUGAAUAUUCACCUUCUCAGGCUGCUCUGUCAGAGAUUUUUCUGGGUGGGCAUGGUGGUUCACACCUGUAAUUCCAGC
rnacentral:lncRNA from 1 species